UUUGGUGAUUCAUGAUAACUUUACGGAUCGCAUAGCCUUGCGCUGGCGACGGUUCAUUCAAAUUUCUGCCCUAUCAACUUUCGAUGGUAAGGUAUUGGCUUACCAUGGUUUCAACGGGUAACGGGGAAUUAGGGUUCGAUUCCGGAGAGGGAGCCUGAGAAACGGCUACCACAUCCAAGGAAGGCAGCAGGCGCGCAAAUUACCCAAUCCCGACACGGGGAGGUAGUGACAAUAAAUACUGAUACAGGGCUCUUUUGGGUCUUGUAAUUGGAAUGAGUACAAUUUAAACCUCUUAACGAGGAACAAUUGGAGGGCAAGUCUGGUGCCAGCAGCCGCGGUAAUUCCAGCUCCAAUAGCGUAUAUUAAAGUUGUUGCAGUUAAAAAGCUCGUAGUUGAAACUUGGGCCUGGCUGGCGGGUCCGCCUCACCGCGUGCACUCGUCCGGCCGGGCCUUCCUUCUGAAGAACCUCAUGCCCUUCACUGGGCGUGCUGGGGAAUCAGGACUUUUACUUUGAAAAAAUUAGAGUGUUCAAAGCAGGCCUUUGCUCGAAUACGUUAGCAUGGAAUAAUAAAAUAGGGCGUGCGUUUCUAUUUUGUUGGUUUCUAGAGACGCCGCAAUGAUUAACAGGAACAGUCGGGGGCAUCAGUAUUCAGUUGUCAGAGGUGAAAUUCUUGGAUUUACUGAAGACUAACUACUGCGAAAGCAUUUGCCAAGGAUGUUUUCAGUAAUCACUGCAAGAAAGUUAGGGGAACGAAGACGAUCAGAUACCGUCGUAGUCUUAACCGUAAACUAUGCCGAGUAGGGAUCGGGCGAUGUUCUUUUUCUGACUCGCUCGGCACCUUUCGAGAAAUCAAAGUUUUUG
rnacentral:rRNA from 1 species